AUUGAACGCUGGCGGCAUGCUUUACACAUGCAAGUCGAACGGUAACAGGCCGCAAGGUGCUGACGAGUGGCGAACGGGUGAGUAAUGCAUCGGAACGUGCCCAGUCGUGGGGGAUAACUACUCGAAAGAGUAGCUAAUACCGCAUACGAUCUAUGGAUGAAAGCGGGGGACCGUAAGGCCUCGCGCGAUUGGAGCGGCCGAUGUCAGAUUAGGUAGUUGGUGGGGUAAAGGCUCACCAAGCCAACGAUCUGUAGCUGGUCUGAGAGGACGACCAGCCACACUGGGACUGAGACACGGCCCAGACUCCUACGGGAGGCAGCAGUGGGGAAUUUUGGACAAUGGGCGCAAGCCUGAUCCAGCAAUGCCGCGUGCAGGAAGAAGGCCUUCGGGUUGUAAACUGCUUUGUACGGAACGAAACGGCUCUGGUUAAUACCCGGGGCUAAUGACGGUACCGUAAGAAUAAGCACCGGCUAACUACGUG
rnacentral:rRNA from 1 species